AUGCGAUCACAUUGCCAAGGGCUUCAUUUCUGUCUUACUGCUGUGAUAAAGUACCUGGAUAAAAGCAACUUAUGGGAGGAAAGGUUUAUUUUGGCCCACAGUUCGAAACGGAUACAGUCCACCGUGGUGGAGAAGAUUCGGCACCAGGCAGGGAAGGCAUGACGGAAGCGGGAGCCUGGCUGACCACACUGGCCCUGUAUUCAGGAAGCGGAAGCUGAGUGUGAACAGGAACCGCUGGUUAUGGGAUUUGCCGGAUGCUGCAUCUGAGCUCUAAGGCUCUUCUCCGUUCUGUUCUUUUUCUCCUGAGCACCCACAUCAGUUCUCAGCACUGAGAAAAGGCGCCGUGGUAAGACUGAAUGACAGAUGUGGUCCUCCAGCUGCUGCCAGAAACCAGAGUGACUAAGGGGAAAAGAAGCAGAACCUUAGAAGGCCCUACGAAGGCGCACUGUGAACAAUUCCUAGCUGUAUGAUGUGAUUGCAAAAGGGGGCGGGAUUGUGUGGGAACUGGAGACAGUAUGGUCGUGGUGAGCAAGUGUGGCCUGAAGCCAAGAAUUGCCAAGAGGCUAAGAGUUAAGUUCAUGGAGGUUGCUGUCUCAUCGGACCCAUGUGGCCAGGAUGCAACACAGGGAAGAAAAAGGGAGCUUAAAGAAGUCUGGCGACCUAAGGAAUGUUACCUAGCUAGGAAAUGAGGGAUCAGGCUGCAGACUGUUGCCAUCUGGGCCUUGAUGAGGAACCUCCGUCAUCAUGCUCUCUGCCUCCCUCUAUUGGUCUAUGGGAGAUGUUCCAUGCAUCAUUACUGGAAGAAGAAAUGAACUACCCAAAUCUUACCUUGACACUUCAUACAGGUCACAAGUCUUCUAGGGGUGCCUUUACCUACCACUGCACACUGGACACCACUGCCUUUUAUCCCAUCUUACACCAUGGGACUUUGUCUCUGUCCCGGGCUGCUCAGGUGUGUCUGGGAAUCUCCAGACCAAUGGUCAGUGACCAAGUGCCCCAAGCUCAGAGAUGUUUCAGCACUCCUUCCUCCUAGUCCACCUCCUUGUCUGCCUGGUAGUCUGUGGGGAAGUGCAACCCAGGCGAGGCUUCAAAGUAGAGAGCACCUUGAGCCCAUUUACAUGACCUGCUCUUCAAACAUCAGUGUAUGUGUGUAAGUCAUCUGGGGAGUCGGCUGAAAUGGAUACUCCAAUUCAGAAGAGCUGGGGUAGCCCGUGACAUGCAGAUGCUGCCAACCCACAGACCUCACAUUUGCUAGCAAGUCACUGGAGGAAUCUCAGACAAGACAGCACAUCAGAUGGAGACUGAGAAUGUCAACUCUUCCUACUUAGAGCCUUCAUUUAUACCCAUGGCUAAGCCGUUUGUGUCCUCAGUACCUCACACACAGAGAGACAUAGGGAGAUAGAGCUGAACCCCAUUUCAAGCUCUGCCUGGAUCCCUGCUAUAUAUUUGUGCAAAGUAGGUUACAAAUACCCCCGCAGUGGCUAAUCUUGGUUGUCAACUUUACUAUAUCUGGAAUCAGCUAGAACACAAGCUGCUGGGCUCACCUGUGAGUGCCUUUCUUGACCAGAUUAUCUGAAGCAGGAAGACCCACCCUACAUGUGGGUGGCACCUUCUGGUAGCAGCCCAGAUAACAAUACAUGGAAGAAGGAAGCUGCAUGCUUGUCCUUGCCUUCGAUGGCGAGUCCAUGUCUCCUGAUGCUCUGACAUUCCUCCACUGCUGUUAGAACCAACUUCUUCAGGACUCUGAUGUUACUGAAGCAGCUCCUCAGGAAUUCUCCAUGCCUUCAACACCAGAUGGGGACUGCUGUGACAUCCAGCUUCAUGGGCUGAGCAAAUGUAGGAUUCCUAGCCUCUCCAAUGUAAGACAGCUAUUGUUGAAUACCCUAACUGCAUCCUGUAAACCAAUCUAAUAAAUCCCCCUUUUUAUAUGCA